AUCUAAAGGCCUUUGCGAUGUUAAAUUGUGAACAUCUUGGGUUUCCAUUAAAGGGUGUGCCCAUGGCGCCGUGACAAAUUUGAUGUCUCGCCAUGGGAAUAGAAGUUGUUGUAACUCAGGCAUAAGAUGUCCGAUCUUCCCCAAACUUCACAUGUUCGAAAAGAGUCUUGGCCUGAACACAUCUGAAGGUCAUUAUUCCACUAUAAUCAUAGCGCCACCUGCUGACAACAGAAAAUGGCUUGUUUUACACUAACUUAAACAUGCAAUGUCCAAUCUGCACCAAACUUCAAAUAUUUGAUGAGAGUCAUGGCCUGAAGAUAUCUAAAGGCCAAUGUUCAGUUAUAAUCAUAGCGCCACCUGUUGGCAAUAGGACACAACAUGCUUUAUACUAACUCAAACAUUCUAUGUUCAAUCUGCACUAAAUUUCAUAUGCUUGGUAAAAGUGCUGGACUGAAGAAAUCUACAUGACAAAAUCCAGUUAUAGUCAUAGCGCCACCAGCUGGCAGCAGGAAGAUUGGCACAUAUAAAUGACUUUGACAUAUUCCUCUUAUAUUUACCACAUUAAACGCAUAUUUCUCGCCGUUCGCUGUUUUACAAAAGCCACCCGGUGGUGGUGAG
ensembl:lncRNA